rnacentral:lncRNA from 1 species
ACACGAAGAUGUGUCUGACAUCGCUCAUUCUAUUUGUGGCUGCGCAAAAGAUCAUAGAAAGAAUGGGGAAUCCUUUGCUUAAGAUUAGAUUAGCUCGGCAGAGAAGAGAGAUUGACCCGAGUGGUCUUGGUCCCAAGGUCCCGAGGUUAGUCCUUUGUGACUUUUUAUUCGCCUGUCGAUUAUUGGUCCUUGAAGGACCGAAACUCAUGCGAUGAACCUCUUGCCAGAGCUUCUUUUCCUCACUCAGUAACGAGAUUAGUUUGCUUUGCUUUAAGCAAGUUACCGUCGAAAUAAGGUUUAUUUGCUCCAAUAAGCGGAAAUAAAAGAAUAUUUCCGCUGCCGGGGUUCGAACCCGGAAAUUCAACAACUAGAAUUUUAACCAUC